AAACAGAAACCCAAGAAAAGCAAAUCCCUCCUACUUUUCACUUGACUACAUUGGAUUUUGGAGGGCCUACUCAUCAUGGUCUGUCCUCCUUAAGCUAAAGCAUAAGCUCCAUGGGGACAGCGGCUUUGGCUCACCGAUGUACCCCGAGGCACAUGGGCUGCUUGGCACAUGGUCAGAGUUCAAGCACAUUUGCUGUUCUCUGGGAAGAACCUUGGCUCAGGCUGUCACAGCUGGCUGGAGGGGGAGACUAGACCCGGAAAGGUUUAAGCCCCCGAACCACGAAGCCAAGAAUGGGAAUGGCCUUGGGGCAAGCACUCCAUGGACACAGGUGUUCUGGGCUGACUGCCGCCUCUCCCUGAGAAUCUGGGGGUGCUGGAGAGAAGGAAAAGAAACCGAGAGAUCUGAGAUGCUCCAGAAAGCCAGCCUCCCUGGGGACACCUCGGUUUCUGGAGGUGGAAUGGGUGCAGCAAGGUUCCUUGCAAGGCGACCAGCCAGCCCCGCAGCACUUACGUCGUCCAGUGGUACUCAGUGGCGGGGGGGUUGGCAUCGGCUUUGCACGUGAGCUUCACAUCCAUCCGUUGCAGGGAAGGUGGCAAACUCGCAGAUGUAGACGCCCUCGUCCUCUAGCUCCAGGCGGGAGAGGCGGAUGGUACCAUCUGUGAAGGAGGGCCGCAGGAACUCCACGCGCUCGCGGUAUGGGGCCAGCACCGAGACGCCCAUGGCUGGGUUGUAGAUGGCCACGUUCUGCUUGGAGCCAUUGGUGGCCUUCUGCCAUGUGACCUGGGUGAUCUUCACGCCCGGCAGCGGGUUGGCGAAGCUGCAAUGAAGCACCACGUCCGUGCCGAUGAAGCCGUACAUGGAGUCGUUGACCUGGACCAUCUGGGCGUGGGCACC
rnacentral:lncRNA from 1 species